GAAAAAAAGAAAAGAAAAAACAGCCCCCACCUUCUCCUUCCCCUCGCUCUAUCGUUCCCCUCACUCUCUCCACUCCCGCACACGCAAAUCCCUAAUCUCGGCCGAGUCACCCACUCCACUCCCUCCGCUGUCGCCCCCACAGCCGCCACAACCAGCGAACUCGUCUCCCACCGCUGCCCCCUCUCGUCCCCUCCCCUCUACUCAUCCGACGGCGCUGACCGCGCAGAUCGAGCGACCAGGCGGCGGCCACAUGCGCACACAACCGGCGACCAACAUCACGCAAAGGUCAUCACCGCCGUCGCCGAAGGGCGGUCUUCUUCCACCUCGACGGACGAGCUUGCGCGCCAGGAGAGGAGCGGGGAUCCUGCGCUUCUUCCUCGCUCAGCGCCCCUGUCGCCAUGCCAUGGAUGGACCUCCCUCUGCUCUCACCAAUGCCAUGUACCGAGCUUGCUCUCCUCCUCGAGAUAUUAUCCUCCAAGCUAUAUGAUAUGGACAACACAUGAUUUAUGGAACGAAAAGAGAUCAUGUCAUCCAGAUAAUUAGAUUUCACCGCAUGAUGUUCUUUACCCCAGCCGAGCAUAGUGUGCUGCCGCGCCGUCGAUUUCCACGAAGUGGCCAGCCCGAGCCGAUUCCCCAAUGUGUCAAUGACUACGUCCGCUGCGUGAUCCUGUGGGACAUGACCAAUCCAUUGCCUUAUCAACACAUCGAGGGUGAAUUGAGUUCAGAGCUUUAAGCAAACGAUUGCGAUUUUGUAGCUGCAGUGGUGCUAUUCUUUAUCAUUUGGCAGAUGAAGGCCGUCGAAGAUCACAAGCGCAGCUUGCUAUUGUACAGGUUUGGAAUUUAGAAAGGUGACCUAUUUUCAUGUGAACUUACCUAUUCUUUGCUAUUCAGAAUAAUUCUUUAUCUUCCCAUUGCUGUGUUAAUUGAUUCAUAUGCGGUUGUGCUAUUCUGACAAGGAUGUCCAUCAAGGUUGUUUGGAGGGACAUAAUGAAACCUCACAAGUUCUACUUUGCUGAUUCUUUCAGAGAAUUGUUUCAUUACUAAUGCGCUAUCGUGGGCAUGUAUUAAUCCCAUAUUCCAAAUCACUUUGGAAUCCAGUCAAAAUCCAGUGAAAAUCACUCUGGAAUCCUUCUCCGUAAUUGAUUCGCAAACUACUCUCAAGGACUGCUCUGAACCUCAAAUAUCAUGGGCACAUGAAGUUGUGGUGUAAUUUUUACAGAAACAAGUGAUUCAGGCAGCAAGGUAUUGAUUGAUGCAACUAUGUUGUACUGUUUCGGUGACUGCUAAUAUUUUCUUUAGGAAGGAUAACCAAUUCAGUACUAAAAGUA